rnacentral:hammerhead_ribozyme from 1 species
AUCCAUCUGGCGAGUCCCAAAUAGGAUGAAACAUGCGUCCUGGAU